rnacentral:rRNA from 1 species
AAAGGAAUUGACGGGGGCCCGCACAAGCAGCGGAGCGUGUGGUUUAAUUCGAUGAUACACGAAGAACCUUACCCAGGCUUGACAUGUUGGUAGUAGGGAUCCGAAAGGUGACCGACCUUCGGGGAGCCUUCACAGGUGCUGCAUGGCUGUCGUCAGCUCGUGUCGUGAGAUGUCCGGUUAAGUCCGGUAACGAGCGCAACCCUCGCUGUGUGUUAUAUGUGUCACACGGGACUGCCGGUAUCAAGCCGGAGGAAGGUGGGAUGACGUCAAGUCAGCAUGGCCUUUAUGUCUGGGGCUACACACACGCUACAAUGGCCAGUACAAUAGGUUGCAAGACCGCGAGGUGGAGCCAAUCCUUAAAGCUGGUCUCAGUUCGGAUUGCAGGCUGCAACUCGCCUGCAUGAAGUCGGAGUUGCUAGUAACCGCGCGUCAGCUAUAGUGCGGUGAAUACGUUCCCGGGCCUU